rnacentral:rRNA from 1 species
UACGGAGGGUGCAAACGUUGCUCGGAAUUAUUGGGCGUAAAGCGCACGUAGGCGGUUUGCUACGUCGGAUGUGAAGGCCCCGGGCUUAACCCGGGAAGGGCAUCCGAAACUGGCAGGCUUGAGUACGGAAGAGGGUCUCGGAAUUCCCGGUGUAGAGGUGAAAUUCGUAGAUAUCGGGAGGAACACCAGUGGCGAAGGCGGAGACCUGGGCCGAUACUGACGCUGAGGUGCGAAAGCGUGGGGAGCAAACAGG